AAUUUGGCCCUUUACCCCUGUUGGAGUCCUCCUAACGAUAUCUACCCACUCGAUUCUAAAUCUUUUUGUUUUGCCCUUUUAUUUUUUAAUAUUCCUAUAGUAUCCUUUUGAGAUAUUAAAAACAAAUUAAACGAAAAGUCCAUUGUUCCCUUCUCUGUUUUUUUCUUUCUUUCACUUCCCUUCGAGUUAUACUCCUUCAAAAUCUUUGCCGGCUCGUCUCUUCUCCUUCCUCACCCUUCCCCCAGAAACACUAGAUUUAGGGUUAGGGUUUGAGUUUUGAAUUUCCGAUUCAAACGUAAUCGACGACGGUGUCUAAGUAUUCAAAUGUGUGAGCAUUAGACGGUGAACUGAAUCGGUCAGAUCCCAAACAAAAUAAAAACAGAGAGAGAGAGAGGAAACGAUGAAGUAAUGGCAAGCAAGGAAGAGAGCGCAGUGAAGGAGACUGCUCUUGCCAAUCUUAUUGUAAGGUUUUUUUGUCAUAGCUUAAAAAAAUGACCCACUGUGUUUUCAAUUUUGUUUUCAGUUAGGUAUUUACGCUAAUCUGAUCAUAUACCAAGAUAAUUCCUUGCAAGCAGUAUGGUCAAACAAUGAAGGUGAUCGAAGACUUAUUAGGGUGGAUAUUGUUAAUUGAGGAUUUCAAUAUUUGACCCUCGUCCUGGAAUGGAUGGCAGUGAUGAGAAUUCAAUUGUAAAGUGGGUAAAGAUGGGUGCAUCACUUCAUAGGUCUUCGAAAGGAUAGGCAAUAGGGUUAAAACCUCCACCUCCAUACCUUAUGGUAAAAUCUGUUUUCAAUAUCUAUUUAUUUUGCUUUUAUCUUGUGCAUACACUUAUUUAUAUGGUGAAAACAAUACAUGACUUUUGUAGCUUGUGCAUGUAUGUUUCAUUCUAAUAGAAAGAGAAGUCUACCUCUUAUUUCCUACAUGUACUUUAUCUUAUUUUCUGUUUCUCUUGAUUAUUUAUUAGCAUGCAUUUCUUCCUCCAUAUUUGAAGUACAAUUUGUUUGUAUGUUAUGUCAUGUGUCCACUGUCUUCUUAGUGUUUACUCGUUGAAAUUUAUCUUUUAAGCAUAUCUUGGUUAUGCAUCCUUUUUUUGGCAUGUUUGGAUAUGAAGGACCUAUUGCUUCUAUGCAUCUAGGAAGGUAUGAGUUGCACCUUCAUUUAUGUCCUCAUUCUGACUGAAUAUUCCGAAAUGUUUAGUUUUACCUUUUCUCAUUUCACUGUCCUAUCGUAGGCAUGCUCUUGUUUCUUCAAAGACAGAAUUCCAAGAAAGUAUAUGCGGAACAUCUUGAGAGAGAAGAUACGUAACAUCUUAAGAGAGAAGCCUUACUCGGCAGUUCUAGCUCUAAACAUACUUGGACGAUAGUUAAGUUGCAUACCAGUUUCGUGAUUUGUCAGAGGGCCAUAUUUUUUAAUGCUUUUAUUUGAUUUCUCUUCCAUCUUUGCAAUAGAACCAUCCAAUGGUUUUCAAUCUCUUGUACUAAUGGACAACUUCAUUUCCAUUUUAGACUGAUGGUGGUAUCAAAAAUCCCUUAGAAGAUGAAAUUAGGGACACACCCCACGGAGAACUACUCUAUUUCUAUUAUUUUAUACUUUUGGCAUGGUCAAAUGGAGAAAUUAUGCGUCAAUUAUAAGAAUUUACUCGUGCCAGCUGUGAAUUUGACAAAAUGAUAGCUGUUGAAUUUUUAUUUUUUUUCAAGUGGGAUUCCUUCUAGUAAUUUUCACGUUGUACCUGACCAGAAGAAUAUACGUGCUUGCUUUUAUGUGAUUAUGAUCAAUUAUUUGAACAUGCUACCUGAUAUAAUUUUUUUUGGUGGUAGAUGGGUGGAUAAAAUCCUUGAGGCAUUAAGAGGAUAUGACCACUAGAGGAUUGGCUGUUAAUUGUUUAGGUGAAAAAAGCAGUUGCUUGUUUUUAUUCCUUAAAUUUAAAAUGAGCCCUCCUCGGUUUCCUCCAGAUGCAGGUAUCUGAGAUGAUGUGAGAGGUGUAGAAUAAGGCAGCAACACAAACAUGGAAAAGUUUGAAGUUUCUAUUUAACGUGAUUGCAUGCCAGCAGCAAUACAAUAUGUUGGAAUGUUUAACAUCCUGAACAGCUCAUAUCUGGUAGCUAGAUCAUUCUUUUGAAGUUAGUGAAGAGCAAUAAUUUUAUGGAAAGCCAGCUUUCCUACUUGUAUAUGUUUAUAAUUUUCCAAAGAUGAAGUUUUGAUAAUGACCCUACAUCUUUUUUACUGUGCCUUAACGAUGAGUUGUUACCACUCUUAGUAAAAUAAUGAACACUAGUGUAGUUAUGAUUCAUGUCCAAGUAGUAUUUAUUCCUUUUCAAUGAUGUUAUUGUAUAAUAUUUCUGUACAUUAUAAGCAAAUAAUGGAAGCUCACUUUAAUA